UUUCAACGAGGCAAACGUGUGAAGAAAAGUGGUCGAGUUGAGUCGAUGGAAAUGAUCAGCAGAUGCAAUGAACAUGGAUCUAGACUUCUCCACAUAUUCACAAUGACUGACUUCCACUUGAACCUUUGGUUUGGCUGAGACAUAAUUUGGAGGAACAGUCUUGACAGUUACCUUGCAGGCUGUCAUCCCUCAGUGUAGUCAUGGUGUGGUGAAUGCAACGCUGGAGCUGUCGUCUCAGCAAAAGAUGUACCCCUCCCCUGAUCCUACCAUCCCAUGACAGAGAAGUAAU